rnacentral:rRNA from 1 species
UACGGAGGGGGCGAGCGUUAUUCGGAAUUAUUGGGCGUAAAGGGCGCGUAGGCGGCUUGAUGUGUCAAAGGUGAAAUCCCUCGGCUCAACUGAGGAACUGCCUUUGAAACUGUCUGGCUUGAGGCCGGGAGAGGGUAGCGGAAUUCCGAGUGUAGAGGUGAAAUUCGUAGAUAUUCGGAGGAACACCAGUGGCGAAGGCGGCUCACUGGCUCGGUACUGACGCUGAGGUGCGAAAGCGUGGGGAGCAAACAGG